rnacentral:rRNA from 1 species
GACGUAGGAUGCGAGCGUUGUCCGGAUUUAUUGGGCGUAAAGAGUUCGUUAAGUUUGAUGUUAAAGAUCGGGGCUCAACCUCGGGACAGCAUUGAAUACUGGCAGACUUGAGUAUGGUAGAGGCUAGUGGAAUUCCCAGUGUAGCGGUGAAAUGCGUAGAUAUUGGGAAGAACACCGGUGGCGUAGGCGACUAGCUGGGCCAUAACUGACGCUGAGGAACGAAAGCCAGGGGAGCGAAAGGG